UGAGUACGAGAUGCUACGGCAUCGAAGCAGUCUAUGUCAUACUUCCAAGAAAAGCUUGCACUGUCAUAAACAAAGAAUGCCUGUACCAUAACCGACACAGGUGGGUAGGUAGAGUAUACUAAGGGGCGCGAGAUAACUCUCUCUAAGGAACUCGGCAAAAUGACUCCGUAACUUCGGGAGAAGGAGUGCCUUAUUUCUAAGGUUGCAAUAACAAGAUCCAAGCAACUGUUUACCAAAAACACAGGUCUCCGCUAAGUCGUAAGACGAUGUAUGGGGGCUGACGCCUGCCCAGUGCCAGAAGGUUAAAGAAGUUGGUUAGCAUUAGCGAAGCUGAUAACUGAAGCCCUGGUGAACGGCGGCCGUAACGAUAACGGUCCUAAGGUAGCGAAAUUCCUUGUCGGGUAAGUUCCGACCCGCACGAAAGGCGUAAUGAUUUGGAUACUGUCUCGGAGAGGGGCUCGGUGAAAUAGACUUGUCUGUGAAGAUGCGGACUACCUGCACCUGGACAGAAAGACCCUAUGAAGCUUUACUGUAACUUGAGAUUGAAAUUGGACUUUAUUUGCGCAGUAUAGGUGGGAGGCGUUGAGAAUAAUCUUGCGGGAUUGUUGGAGCCAUCAGUGAGAUACCACUCUUGUAAUGUUAGAUUUCUAACUUUGUAUCAUUAUCUGGUCAAAGAACAGUUUCAGGCGGGCAGUUUGACUGGGGCGGUCGCCUCCCAAAGGGUAACGGAGGCGCACAAAGGUUUCCUCUGAACGGGUAGAAAUCGUAUCUAGAGUGUAAAGGCAUAAGGAAGCUUGACUGUGAGACCUACAAGUCGAGCAGGGACGAAAGUCGGUCUUAGUGAUCUGACGGUGCUGAGUGGAAAGGCCGUCACUCAACGGAUAAAAGUUACUCUAGGAUAACAGGCUGAUCUCCCCCAAGAGUUCACAUCGACGGGGAGGUUUGGCACCUCGAUGUCGGCUCAUCGCAUCCUGGGGCGGUAGUCCGUCCCAAGGGUUGGGCUGUUCGCCCAUGAAAGCGGUACGGGAGCUGGGUUCAGAACGUCGUGAGACAGUUCGGUCCAUAUCCGGUGUAGGCGUUAGAAUAUUGAGAGGAGCCUUCUCUAGUACGAGAGGACCGAGAAGGACAUACCUCUGGUGUACCAGUUAUCGUGCCAACGGUAAACGCUGGGUAGCUAUGUAUGGAGUGGAUAACCGCUGAAAGCAUCUAAGUGGGAAGCCCACCUCAAGAUAAGUAUUCUCAC
rnacentral:rRNA from 1 species